rnacentral:rRNA from 1 species
CCUACGGGAGGCAGCAGUGGGGAAUAUUGCGCAAUGGGCGGAAGCCUGACGCAGCAACGCCGCGUGAGGGAUGACGGCCUUCGGGUUGUAAACCUCUUUCAGCGCUGACGAAGCCUCUUGGGGUGACGGUAGGCGCAGAAGAAGCACCGGCUAACUACGUGCCAGCAGCCGCGGUAAUACGUAGGGUGCGAGCGUUGUCCGGAAUUAUUGGGCGUAAAGGGCUCGUAGGCGGUUUGUUGCGUCUGCUGUGAAAGCCCGGGGCUUAACUCCGGGUCUGCAGUGGAUACGGGCAGGCUAGAGUCCGGCAGGGGAGACUGGAAUUCCUGGUGUAGCGGUGGAAUGCGCAGAUAUCAGGAGGAACACCGGUGGCGAAGGCGGGUCUCUGGGCCGGUACUGACGCUGAGGAGCGAAAGCGUGGGGAGCGAACAGGAUUAGAUACC